CUUCUCCUUCUCACUGAAAGGCUUCUGCGAUCUGAGCUUCCUGGUUGCAGUCCUGACAUUCCAGCAGAAAGCUAAGGAAACUCUCCUGAAGUCAAGCAGUUCCUUACAAACCACAUGAGAGCCAAGCCAAGAGCAUUCUCUUUCCAGGGAUCUACAGAAAAGUCUGGUUGAUCUGUAUACCUUUUCUUCACGUGUUACUCUUCUACAGGGAUGGUUGGACUAGAUGAUCUUGGAGAUUUUUUUCAGCCUUGCCCCAUUGGAGGCACAGACCUAAGGCAAAUAGAGGAGAAUAUGAUGCAGCUGCAGAUCCUGGCAAGUGGAACUAUACCCCCAAAAGAUUCAGUUCAGUCAGAAGCGUGCAUUGCGAUGGUAACAGGUGAGGCAGCUUAGUUGUUCAUUGCUAAAGAAACAUUUCUGAAAUCAUUAACUGUCAUCAAGUGGGAGAAAAGGCAUAAUCUUUGACACUGCAUGUUUGCAAAUGGGAUUGGGAAAACAUGGUGGACAUCUUUGAACACUUCAAUCAGAAAUGAACAUAGUUGGGUCAGAUACUCUGUUUUACUGAACUAUGCACUGAAAGCCAGUCAUUUGGGGUCUCCUGGCUACUUGAAGCUGAUGCAGCCAAAACUUGGCACCCAAAACUUGGAACAGCAGAACAGCAUCUUCAGGGAGUAGCCUGGGAACAUUUGAGAGCUGUGUGAGAGCUGUGGAAGCCUUCCUUGCCCAAACCUCUUCCAUAACUCUUUUGAUGAGGUUAGUCAUGAGAGUGUUAAGAUGAUCUGUGGUCAUUUUCUAACUGUUAGUAUACUGAACUCUUCUGGUCAGAAUGAUGAAAGUGAAGAAUUUUCUGAGACUAAUAUAACAUUGUUUCUGGAGAGCAAUACGUUGCUUCUUCACUGCAAUAGAAAUAGAAAAAGACUGUGAUCUUACAAUUACCUUUAAGGAGCUGCAAGCACAAAGCUGCAGCAGGUCAGCGUCAUGCAGGCUGUGUGGUGGCAGGCAAGAAAUUCAGCUGCUGCCUUCUUGCAUCCUCCUUCCUAGUGACUGCCUGGCCCUGACCUGAGACAUUUCACAUGAGCUGUUGUGUUGCGUAUCAGAGCUUAAAGAGAUCUGGACAGAGAUGGCAGCAGGAAGGCACUGUAGGGCUGGGCUGCUCUGGCACUGAAUCUAACCCACUGCUGAACAGCUCCUGGUGCUGAGGUUAGGGUAGGGGCUGGAGGGAAGGAGAUGGAAAGAACAAAAGGAAUUAGGGGAGGUGCAAAACCAUUCUCUCCUCUAAGUAGCUAGGAGCUGACCUGAGGUCUUUUGGGGGUAUUUCUGAGGGCAUUUUCCCAAAUGUUUCCUCCAUUGCAUCUGCUUCUUGGAGGGAAAAAAGCAGAUUCCCCAGUGAAAGUUAGUCUUGCAGCCUCUCAACUGCAGGGGAUAACCACAUUUUCCUUCUCGGGGCUGUGUCUGAACAACUGGAGUUCUAAUGGUGACAUAUGCUCCACAGAACACAUAAAGGUCUAUCAGACUUCAUGUUUUUUGUGCUAAUAACCAGUUGAAUUUGGAAAUAGUCCUGGUUUUGUAUGUUUUCUUUUCUUACUAAUUUGUUUUCCUGGCUUGUCUGAACUUUGUUACAGUCUAUGGAAGUAACUCACUUUCAUAGAUGUUGGCAGCAAAUGGUCUAUUUCUGUAUAAGGCUGAAGUUCACAUGUAGCCCUCCUGUUUAUGUUCCUUUGAACUGUUAAAAAAAAAUCAGCAGGAAAUCUGUAUUGAAGAAUAAAACAACAGCUACAAGGCAAAUUUUCUGGGGGAAAAUAAAAAAACAGUAAAAAAAUACUGGAAUUCAGGUUUGCUCCAAAGAUUUAGUUCAAACUUCCUUUGGCUGUGUGUUAAGCUACAGGUGUCUCCUUCCGCAGUCAUCCUCUACUGACCUGACCCAUGAUCUACAGAAAGACUGAAUGUUCAUGGCUUUAGAGAAGACAGUAAGAAGUGCACUUUAGCCGUGGAAAGUCUGUUAUAAUGCUAAGGCAUCCAAUAGCCCUGUGAGAGAGUUUUCCUCACAAUUAGUUGGAAUUUUCGAAGUUUUUAAGAAAUGUUGGGUGGAAGAGAUUUCUGGAGGUUACUAGUCCAAUAGGUUGCUCAAGCAUGACUAUCACCAGCCUUACAUCUGGUCACUGCUUCUUUGUCUAGCUUCAUGUGGAAAACCUCACAGCUUGGAGAUCCCAUAACUUCUCCCUGAACACACCACCCACAUAGUGAAGAAGUUUUUCAUAGAGUCAUAUAAUGUACAUCAUCUGCUACAGGACACCAAUUUCUUAGCUGUCUCCUCCGGGUGACUCCCCAAUUUCUGCACAGCAAUCUUGCAGGAAGGUGGAGGCCGUCUCUGGGCACACUGUUUGGGUGUUGUCUCACUGUCACCCUUAAUCUACUAUCCAUGCUCCAUAAUACACCUAGUGUGUGCUUUGCCUUUUUUAAAUUUUAUUUUAUUUUUUGCAACGAG
rnacentral:lncRNA from 1 species